rnacentral:rRNA from 1 species
GACAGAGGGUGCAAACGUUGUUCGGAAUCACUGGGCGUAAAGCGCGUGUAGGUGGCUUGGCAAGUCGGGCGUGAAAUCCCGGGGCUCAACCCCGGAAGUGCACUCGAUACUGCCUCGCUAGAGUCCUGGAGAGGAAGGUGGAAUACUUGGUGUAGAGGUGAAAUUCGUAGAUAUCAAGUAGAACACCGGUGGCGAAGGCGGCCUUCUGGACAGUGACUGACGCUGAGACGCGAAAGCGUGGGGAGCAAACAGG